rnacentral:lncRNA from 1 species
CAGUUAUGAGGGGAGCGAGGUGGGAUAGCAGAAAAAAGAAUUAUUUUAUAUAAAAAGAAUCACCGAGCUGCGGUGGUGGGCGGGCAGCACCUGUGUGCUCAGGUGUGCUCCCUGCCCAGGCACUCGGCGUCAGCAGCGGCAGGUGGAGGGGUCCCGCACACGUGAUUUCAGUGAGCGGGGGGUUGUCUGUGGCUGGGUUGGGUGCCUUUCUGCUGGUGGUGCUGUGGGUUACUGUUGCUCUGGACCGGGUGCUUCUGCUCUGAAAUUUUUGGGACAGAUUUGAAGGCUAUUGCUACUGUCGCUAGCAGUGAUGAGCAGCCGGCUUCCAGUGUGGUUGGUGUUACUGUGCUGUCAGAAAUAGCAAUUCCUACAUGGAAAAGGAUGGAAGUGUGGAGCAGUAGCGUUGCAAAACAGGACCAGCUGAACCAGCAGCUUAGAUCCGCUGGGGCCUGCCGUGCUCAGGACACAUCAGGACUGCCAGCAUAGGAUGAUGUCACCGCUACAGAAACUGAAGUGGGAUCCUGCAGCAAUUCAGCCUCAAAAGUCUCAGACCGCAUCUCUAGGCAAGUACUCGUUGUGUUAAAUUAUUAUCAAUACUUUUUAUAGUAGCGCUGUAACAGAGACCUGCUUCAAUUUCAAUAGUGUGUAACAAAAGUCCAAAUAAUAGGAAAAGUUUCAGAACAGAGGUGUGGUCUGCAAGGUAUUAAUAUCCCAUAUGAGGAAAGCUGGAAGGUAAACUAAAAAUGGAAGAAUGAAGUUACCCACAGAUGAGAGCUGGGAAGUAAGCUGACAAAGGCCUGUACUGUCCACCUUUUUUAAAGAUCAAUGCAAACUUUUAUUUUCUAUAAAUAAUUUAAUAAAUACUUUUGUUUUACAAUGAUACAAUAAAUGACAAAUUCAUAGCAAAUGAGUCACAAAGAAUUUAGGAUCAGUAUACUUUAAUAAGGUAUCAGUGUCAAAAUACAUUUCCUUAUCAAAUUAAAGUUCCCAUAUAGUUAUAAUAUUGUCAAUAAGAAUUCAGCAAUAUAGAUUAUGAAAUAAUUAUGAUAAAAAGUAUGAUUAAUAUUAAGACAGGGAAUAUUUUUCCAGAGUGUUUUAGUAAACUGUUAGGCUAUAUAACAUUUUUAAUGCUGAAACUACACAAAUAAGAAACAGAAAAAAAGCAGUAUUCAAGUGUCUUUAGUCUUUGAUGCCUUUAAGUCCUUGCCACUGAAAAAUGUCAAAUCUGGCUUGCCAAUUUUCAUUCAUUACAUGUUGACUCUUACGCUAUCCUUUUCCCAUAUAGGAAUAAAUUCACUUUAUGAGUAGCUUAUUUUUGGUAAAAAGAAAAAAAGAGCAUAAAACAAAACAACUCUUGAAAGACCUGCCUGCAAUAAGGACUAUUGUAAUUAUUUUUUAACAUUAUAUACCACUACUAACAUAAGAUCUUUC